CUGCUGCAGCUGGGCUCCUGUGGCAUCAAGCUCGGCUUUGCUGGUGGGAGGGGUGCAAGUCACCUGAAACCUGGGCAUCAGCUGGGCAUCCGAGGGCAUCGGGAGAAUGCUAGAAGUCCGGUGCCCUUGAACACGGGGCCUUUGAGAGGACGCUGCGUUCACCACCUGUGUGUGCCACACACUGGGCCCCGCCUCAGAGCCAGAUGUCACGAUGAAGGCCUGGGAAGGCCCUGGAAGAUGUGUCCUGGGGACACGCCUCGGUGACUUCUCUGGAGAGCCACUCGCUGGCCCUUUGGAGCACCUCCUGCCCCUGCAGCCUUGCCGUUGACCUCCAGUGGCACGGUGCACACACCUGGCCCCAGUGACAAGGAGCCGGGUCUGGGUACCGUUUUCCCAAGGCCGGCCAGUGCCGGCGGGUUCCUGGAUCUCGCGCUGCUCCUGGAAGCAGCCAGGGGAGACCUGCUUUUGCUUCUUGCAGCCACUUGCUUCUGCUGGACCACAGCUGUUGCUGGGAUGACAGCUGCCGGCAGGCGAGGCCAGGCCUGAACCACAUCCAGGGGCAUCCAGGCAGAUUUCUGUUAAACAGAAAUCACCACGCAGGUCUCUUCCGUGCUGUCUGGCUGCUCUGUUACGAAUGUCACACACGCCUGUGUAACAUCCCGGACUUUCCAACCCCCAGGCUGACCGGUCCCUCCCUCCUGAGAGCCAGCAAGGCUUUCACUGUGGGUCUGCUCAUGGCCUGCCCUUGGGGGUCAGCUUGUUGGUCUGUAGCAUGGGAGCCAGGGCCAGGCUGAGCCGCGGAGCUGGGCAGAAGCCUGGGCACUGGCCACAUCCGCAGACCUUUCUGUCUGGAUAGAUGUGGCUGAGUCGUUCCAAGUCAUUUACCCCAUGAAGUAGAAUAUAGCUAAUGUGCUGUGUUUGUUUCUGUGUGUCCUGCUACAACCCUUGUGAGGUGUGCGUGUGCGUGUGUGAGCGUGUGUGUGUGUUGGGGUGGAACCUCACAUGCCAGGCAAGGGCUCCUCCCAGCCCGUGUUGGGUCUUACUUGGAGACAGGGUGUCCCUGAGUUCCUCAGGCUGGCCUGACUGGCCCCCCCUACCUACCCCUGACCAGUAGCUGUGAUUCAAUGGUGCCGCCUCAACCGGCCCCUUGUCCUGGUUUUUUUCUGCCUGUUGCCCGACCUGUGCACCUGUGGUUCUCUUCCUGCCUUGUAGAAAGUGAGGGGUUUUGUGAAGUUGAUUAGUGUCGUUUCAUUUAGGAUAAUGCUUGGAGCAGCUCCAAGAAGGUGGAGUGAGUUUUCUCCUGCAGAUGAG
rnacentral:lncRNA from 1 species